GGCACAGUGGCUUAGUGGUUCGCAAGUUUGCCUCGCACCCGCAGGGUUGGGGGAUUGAAUCCCGCCUCUGCCC